AGCGAACGCUGGCGGCGUGCUUAACACAUGCAAGUCGAGCGAAGGUGUUUCAAGGGUAACCUUGAGAUACACUUAGCGGCGGACGGGUGAGUAAUACGUGGAUAACUUACCUCUAGGCCUGGGAUAACCCCGGGAAACUGGGGCUAAUACCUGAUAAGACCACAUUGUCUACGGACAAAAGGGGUAAAAGGUGGCUGUGCAAACAGCUAUCGCCAAAAGAUAGGUUCACGUCCCAUCAGGCAGUGGUGAGGUAAUGGCUCACCAAACCAAAGACGGGUAGCCGGCCUUGGCGGGUGAACGGCCACACGGGGACUGAGACACGGCCCCGACUCCUACGGGAGGCAGCAGUGGGGAAUAUUGGGCAAUGGGCGCAAGCCUGACCCAGCGACGUCGCG
rnacentral:rRNA from 1 species